rnacentral:rRNA from 1 species
GUCGAACGGCAGCACGGAGCUUGCUCUGGUGGCGGGUGGCGAACGGGUGAGUAAUAUAUCGGAACGUACCCUAGAGUGGGGGAUAACGUAGCGAAAGUUACGCUAAUACCGCAUACGAUCUAAGGAUGAAAGUGGGGGAUCGCAAGACCUCAUGCUCGUGGAGCGGCCGAUAUCUGAUUAGCUAGUUGGUAGGGUAAAAGCCUACCAAGGCAUCGAUCAGUAGCUGGUCUGAGAGGACGACCAGCCACACUGGAACUGAGACACGGUCCAGACUCCUACGGGAGGCAGCAGUGGGGAAUUUUGGACAAUGGGCGAAAGCCUGAUCCAGCAAUGCCGCGUGAGUGAAGAAGGCCUUCGGGUUGUAAAGCUCUUUUGUCAGGGAAGAAACGGUGAAAGCUAAUAUCUUUUGCUAAUGACGGUACCUGAAGAAUAAGCACCGGCUAACUACGUGCCAGCAGCCGCG